AAUCUUGUUUACAAUCACCACAAAAAGAAUAAAAUAUCUAAAAAUAUAGCUAACAGGGAGGUUAAAGAUCUCUACAACAGGAAUUAGAAAACAUUACU